CAAAUUCUUGGUCUGGCAGUGGUCAUGUUUGGCCACACUGGGCAAUACCAAACCAGUACCAAAGAUAGAUCUGCAUCCUGUCAUCAAGGUGCUAUUUUUCAAAUGCAGCAGCAGCACUGAGUCUCAACUAAGGUGUAUUCAUUUGAGAGGCAACUUCCAUCCUUGAAGAACAAGGGAACAACCAAUUGGAUAUUGCAGGUUCAAUUGAUGACAAACAUGCGAAAUUUCCACAUUAAUUUGGAUGUAGAAAGCUACUUUACAUACUGUACAUGCCCAUAUCACUACUUUGAAU